CCCGCAGCGGCUCUGCUGCAGGCGCGGCACAGCGAGAGGCUGCGCCUGUCUCCGGCUCCCGCAGCGGCUCCGCUGCCGCAUCCCCGCUGGCACAGAAGCGCGUACCCCGAGCCGUGCUGCCGGCCGGAGAGGCGCUGGGGAGCUUUAAGCGAGAGAUUGAGCCCCAUUAAACUCGGUAAGCGCUAGAGAGGCGGUGUCCCCUUAUCAGAAGCCAGCUGGCGUCACCUGACUCUCCAUGCUAGUUUAAUGCUGCUGCUUCUCAACCUGCCCGUGCGGGACUUGCACAAGCUCCGCCUGCCGCCGUGACGGAGCCCUGGCACCGCCCGGAGGAGGGCAGCCGGCUGCGGGCACUCAUUGGGUGAUGGGUGCGUUACCCUGCGAGAGCACAGCCCUGGCACCGCCCGGAGGAGGGCAGCCGGCUGCGGGCACUCAUUAGGUGAUGGGUGCGUUACCCUGCGAGAGCACAGCCCUGGCACCGCCCGGAGGAGGGCAGCCGGCUGCGGGCACUCAUUGGGUGAUGGGUGCGUUACCCUGCGAGAGCACAGCCCUGGCACCGCCCGGAGGAGGGCAGCCGGCUGCGGGCACUCAUUAGGUGAUGGGUGCGUUACCCUGCGAGAGCACAGCCCUGGCACCGCCCGGAGGAGGGCAGCCGGCUGCGGGCACUCAUUGGGUGAUGGGUGCGUUACCCUGCGAGAGCACAGCCCUGGCACCGCCCGGAGGAGGGCAGCCGGCUGCGGGCA